rnacentral:rRNA from 1 species
AUUGAACGCUGGCGGCAGGCCUAACACAUGCAAGUCGAGCGGAUGAAGGGAGCUUGCUCCUGGAUUCAGCGGCGGACGGGUGAGUAAUGCCUAGGAAUCUGCCUGGUCGUGGGGGAUAACGUCCGGAAACGGGCGCUAAUACCGCAUACGUCUUGUGGGAGAACGUGGGGGAUCUUCGGACCUCACGCUAUCAGAUGAACCUAGGUCGGAUUAGCUAGUUGGUGGGGUAAAGGCCUACCAAGGCGACGAUCCGUAACUGGUCUGAGAGGAUGAGCAGUCACCCUGGAACUGAGACACGGUCCAGGCUCCUACGGGAGGCAGCAGUAGGCAAUCUUGGACAAUGGGCGAAAACCUGAUCCAGCCAUGCCGAGUGUGUGAAGAAGGUAUUCGGAGUGUAAAGCGCUUUAAGUUGGGAGGAAGGGCAGUAAGUUAAUACAUUGCUCUUUUGACGUUACCAACAGAAUAAGCACCGGCUAACUUCGUG